rnacentral:snoRNA from 1 species
AGUCGCGGCGCCGCCAUCCCCCUCUCACGUUGUCUUUCAGGUUCGAGGUGUGGGUGCACGGCUGAUUUAGCGCGUGGCGAGAGGUGGAGCGAGAGAGAGA